UACAGAGGGUGCGAGCGUUAAUCGGAAUUACUGGGCGUAAAGCGUGCGUAGACGGUCAUGUAGUCGGGUGUGAAAGCCCCGGGCUCAACCUGGGAAUUGCAUUCGAGACUGCAUGGCUAGGAUGCGGAAGAGGGAAGCGGAAUUUCCGGUGUAGCGGUGAAAUGCGUAGAUAUGCGGAGGAACACCGAUGGCGAAGGCAAUCCCCUGGGCCUGCACUGACGCUCAUGCACGAAAGCGUGGGGAGCAAACAGG
rnacentral:rRNA from 1 species